rnacentral:rRNA from 1 species
CAGCAGCCGCGGUAAUACGGAGGGGCCAAACGUUGCUCGGAAUUAUUGGGCGUAAAGAGCACGUAGGCGGCUUGACAAGUCGGACGUGAAAACCCGGGGCUCAACCCCGGGACGCCGUUCGAAACUGUCAUGGCUAGGGUCCGGAGAGGAGAGCGGAAUUCUAGGUGUAGCGGUGAAAUGCGUUGAUAUCAAGAAGAACACCGGUGGCGAAGGCGGCUCUCUAGAAUGUUACUGACGCUGAGGCACGAAAGUUGGGGGAGCAAACGGGAUUAGAUACCCUGGUAGUCCCAACCCUAAACGGUGUGAACUUGGUGUGGGGGGUAUUGACCCCCCCCGUACCGGAGCUAACGCGUUAAGUACACCGCCUGGGGAGUACGGUCGCAAGGCUGAAACUCAAAGAAAUUGACGGGGGCCCGCACAAGCGGAGGAGCAUGGGGCUCAAUUCGAUGCAACGCGAAGAACCUUACCAGGGCUGGACAUGCAGCUGCACGUCCGGUGAAAGUCGGAUUCCUUUGAGGGUGCUGCACAGGUGGUGCAUGGCUGUCGUCAGUUCGUGCCGUGAGGUGUUGGGUUAAGUCCCGCAACGAACGCAACCCCUGUGUUUAGUUGCUACCGCAGGUGAUGAGCCUGCGGGCACUCUAGACAGACUGCCCGUGCAAGCGGGAGGAAGGUGGGGAUGACGUCAAGUCAGUAUGUCCCUUACGUCCUGGGCUGCACACGUGCUACAAUGGCAGGUACAGUGAGAAGCAAAACCGCGAGGUGGAGCAAAUCUCCAAAACCUGCCCCAGUUCGGAUUGGAGUCUGAAACUCGACUCCAUGAAGUCGGAUUCGCUAGUAACGGCGCAUCAGCUACGGCGCCGUGAAUACGUUCCCGGGCCUUGUACACACCGCCCGUCACAUCAUGAAAGCUGUUUGCACCCGAAGUCGCCGUGCCAACCCGCAAGGGGGGGGGGGGCCGAAGGUAGGGUGGAUGAGUGGGGAGAAGUCGUAACAAGGUAGCCGUA